UACGUAGGUGGCAAGCGUUGUCCGGAUUUACUGGGCGUAAAGAGCGCGCAGGCGGUCGGCCAAGUCGAGUGUGAAAGCCCCCGGCUCAACUGGGGAGGGUCAUUCGAUACUGGUCGACUCGAAGGCAGGAGAGGGAAGCGGAAUUCCCGGUGUAGUGGUGAAAUGCGUAGAUAUCGGGAGGAACACCAGUGGCGAAGGCGGCUUCCUGGCCUGUUCUUGACGCUGAGGCGCGAAAGCUAGGGAGCAAACGGG
rnacentral:rRNA from 1 species